GCACUUUAUCUCUGAGACACUUAACUACAUGCUUACCUUAAAUGCAAAGCAGGUGUGUAAGUGCUUUGCUGGAUCAGGGCCAGCUCUGUACAAACCUGACCUCAGAGAGUUAGGAUCCCCUGCUCCUCCUGGUGUGAAGAUGACCUUGCUUACAUCAGAGUCAUGUGGUUGCACUUCAGAAACAGACAGCAUUCAGGAGCAAUAACAGGGCAGGGAAGCUGAGUUCCCAUUGCUCAGGAGCAUUAGGAAGUGGUGGUCAUCUUGGAUGAGAGUAACAUGUAAGAAGAUUUUGGAAGUGUUGAAACACCAUGGUCACACUCCAUGAGGUGGAAUAAAUCUCAUCUUUCCCUUGAUAUCA
rnacentral:lncRNA from 1 species